rnacentral:misc_RNA from 1 species
GUGAAUCAUCGAAUUUUUGAACGCAAAUUGCACUCUUUUCGGUGAGUAUGACUGUUUGAGGGUCAGACUAAAAAAAUUCAUCGUAGCCGUUGUUUCGCGGUGUCAUUCGUCGGAAUUUGGGUCAUCUUAAGCGUUUGGUGUUUUUAUGCGUCUUAAAAUUUUCUUUACGAUUCUAAGAACGCUUCUAAGAUUUUACUUCUUACACACGUUUAAGGUAUCGCUCUUUAUUAGUCGUUGACGUUUCAU